rnacentral:rRNA from 1 species
GCUAGUCGAACGGUAACGCGGGGCAACCUGGCGACGAGUGGCGAACGGGUGAGUAGUGCAUCGGAACGUGCCCAGUAGUGGGGGAUAGCCCGGCGAAAGCCGGAUUAAUACCGCAUACGACCUACGGGUGAAAGCGGGGGACUCGCAAGAGCCCCGCGCUAUUGGAGCGGCCGAUGUCAGAUUAGCUAGUUGGUGGGGUAAAAGCCUACCAAGGCGACGAUCUGUAGCUGGUCUGAGAGGACGACCAGCCACACUGGGACUGAGACACGGCCCAGACUCCUACGGGAGGCAGCAGUGGGGAAUUUUGGACAAUGGGCGCAAGCCUGAUCCAGCCAUGCCGCGUGCGGGAAGAAGGCCUUCGGGUUGUAACCGCUUUUGUCAGGGAAGAAACGCUCUGGGCUAAUACCCCGGGGUAAUGACGGUACCUGAAGAAUAAGCACCGGCUAACUACGUGCCAGCAGCCGCGGUAAUACGUAGGGUGCAAGCGUUAAUCGGAAUUACUGGGCGUAAAGCGUGCGCAGGCGGUUAUGCAAGACUGAUGUGAAAUCCCCGGGCUCAACCUGGGAACUGCAUUUGUGACUGCAUAGCUAGAGUACGGUAGAGGGGGAUGGAAUUCCGCGUGUAGCAGUGAAAUGCGUAGAUAUGCGGAGGAACACCGAUGGCGAAGGCAAUCCCCUGGACCUGUACUGACGCUCAUGCACGAAAGCGUGGGGAGCAAACAGGAUUAGAUACCCUGGUAGUCCACGCCCUAAACGAUAUCAACUGGUUGUUGGACGGCUUGCUGUUCAGUAACGAAGCUAACGCGUGAAGUUGACCGCCUGGGGAGUACGGCCGCAAGGUUGAAACUCAAAGGAGUUGACGGGGACCCGCACAAGCGGUGGAUGAUGUGGUUUAAUUCGAUGCAACGCGAAAAACCUUACCUACCCUUGACAUGUCAAGAAUCUUGCAGAGAUGUGAGAGUGCUCGAAAGAGAACUUGAACACAGGUGCUGCAUGGCCGUCGUCAGCUCGUGUCGUGAGAUGUUGGGUUAAGUCCCGCAACGAGCGCAACCCUUGUCAUUAGUUGCUACGAAAGGGCACUCUAAUGAGACUGCCGGUGACAAACCGGAGGAAGGUGGGGAUGACGUCAGGUCCUCAUGGCCCUUAUGGGUAGGGCUACACACGUCAUACAAUGGCCGGUACAGAGGGCUGCCAACCCGCGAGGGGGAGCUAAUCCCAGAAAACCGGUCGUAGUCCGGAUCGCAGUCUGCAACUCGACUGCGUGAAGUCGGAAUCGCUAGUAAUCGCGGAUCAGCUUGCCGCGGUGAAUACGUUCCCGGGUCUUGUACACACCGCCCGUCACACCAUGGGAGCGGGUUCUGCCAGAAGUAGUUAGCCUAACCGCAAGGGGGGCGAUUACCACGGCAGGGUUCGUGACUGGGGUGAAGUCGAAACAAGGUA